rnacentral:misc_RNA from 1 species
GAUGAAGAACGCAGCGAAAUGCGAUAAGUAAUGUGAAUUGCAGAAUUCAGUGAAUCAUCGAAUCUUUGAACGCACAUUGCGCCCGCCAGUAUUCUGGCGGGCAUGCCUGUUCGAGCGUCAUUACAACCCUCAGGCCCCCGGGCCUGGCGUUGGGGAUCGGCGGAAGCCCCCUGCGGGCACAACGCCGUCCCCCAAAUACAGUAGCGGUCCCGCCGCAGCUUCCAUUGCGUAGUAGCUAACACCUCGCAACUGGAGAGCGGCGCGGCCACGCCGUAAAACACCCAACUUCUGAAUGUUGACCUCGAAUCAGGUAGGAAUACCCGCUGAACUUAAGCAUAUCAAUAAGCGGAGGA